AGAAUGGCAGCGAAAAUGGCGAGGCGCAUACUUCGAAAAGUAUUUUGUUGCCUCCCACUUUUUAGAAAAAAACGAAUUGUGAAAGAUAAAGAAGUUGUUAUUCUGGUUCAACCAGAAGAACAACAACAUCAACCCACUGAAACAAU